CGAUCUGCGCCUCACGUCGGAUUCUCCGCCCGCACCCUCUCGCUUGGGGGUGCGUUCAGUCAGCUCCGAGCCGCGAGUGGGGUAAGUUGCGCUGCGCGCCGGCUCGCUGGCCCUUCGCUGAACGAAGCACAUAACGCCGCCCCGCGCGCACCUCACAUUCUCGUCCGCUGAUAACGAGAAACACGACCCCUGAACGAUCGGCGCAUCGUCGCGCGCCGAUUCAACCGGCGCGACGCGACGCGAUCGCGAGAACGAGAACGCGGGUGAAUGUAUCGUGAACACGAGCGCGUUUCGUGAGCCUUCUUCCUUACAGUUGCUCUCGCGUGUAAUUUUUCUCUCGCGGAGAAAUAUAUAUCACGCGCGGAGGAAUCUUCGCCCCUACUUAUGACGACGACGAAAGAGAACGAUACCGGUGGUAGAGUCGCGCGUCGCAUGUGAACGCGAGCGGAAGGCUUCGUCAUGCUCAGGGCUGAGAAAAUGUCACCGUGAUGUUACACCGAAGCGCUUCGUCGCGACGCCGGCGAGCGUCGCCAAGCGUGGCAAACUCGAGCCAGCCGGCAGGGAUAUCUUUGACGAUGCGAGGUCGACGAGCGAGCGUCGCAACCGAGAAGCCCCUGAUCCUGCCGCCAACUAGCUCCGGCGGAACGAUGGAAAGACAGCGAUCACCGAGGGGUAGCAUGGUGCCGAAUAUCGCUCUGGAUACUGACAGCGGUUCUCCCGACGAAGGAAUCUGUCGCAGAAUUCUGCCGGAUCCCGAGCAGUACGGCACCGGUCGUAACUCUCUGGCACCCGAGGCGAGCCGCAGUCCGCGAAACUCUCUAAUACCUGACGAUUACUGCAGAAGCCCGCGGGGUUCCCUAAUACCAGACUCCAAUAGAAGUCCGCGCAACAGUCUGAUACCUGAUGUGGUGCGAUCACCGCGGAACAGUCUGACGCCGGAGGUUACUCUCAGUCCGCGGCAUUCUUUGGUGCCAGACUCGGCGCUUAGUCCCAGAAAUUCUCUGGUGCCGGACGUGGCCUACAACCGAAGUCCUCGGAACAGCAUGGUGGCGAUUGGCGCUUCUAGAACCUCCCUUUUACCGGAAAACGGAAGUGCAAUCGCGGCGGCCAGCCGCAGCCCCAGGCACUCGUUGGUGCCGGACUCGACUAGAAGCCCGCGAGGCAGCAUGGCAAACUUAGAUUUCGACCGAAGUCCGCGCGGCUCGAUCUGCCCGGAAAUGCACAGGACACCCAGAGGCAGUAUCACGCCUUUGGAGAUCGCGGAUAGAAGUCCUCGCGGUUCGAUAGCCUCCGAGUGCCUGAACCAAAGUCCUCGCGGCUCCAUCGCGCCCGAUCCCAACAGAUCGCCCAGAGGGUCGAUAGCGCCGGACCCGAAUCGGUCCCCUCGCGGAUCGAUAUGUCCGGAGAGCAACAGAAGUCCCAGAGGAUCAAUUACACCACACGAUCAAACGAAUCGAUCACCGCGCGGGAGCGUAGCCGUGAAUGACGUUGACAGACACUCGAGAGGUUCUCUCGGAGCCAUCAACGACGACGUAAAUAGGAGUCCCAGAGGGAGCGUUGGGCCUGACGGGAUCGAUAGGAGUCCUAGAAGUAGCCUCGGUGGACAUCAGGAUAGAAGGGCGCCGAGAGGUACUCUGGCUUUGCAGGAUCCUAGAAGAGCUUCCGCGGAUCAGGGGAGCACGAGAAACCGAAGUUCCUCGCCUUAUCGCCAAAGAGAAGUGAGCUCGGGAAGCGUCAGGUCGGGCGGAAGUGGCGGCGCACAGGUCAAUCUGGGAUAUGGAAAUGCCUGGGCCGACUCCAGGCGAGCAAGCAGCUCCGUUUCGCAGCUUUCAGGAGAUGAGUCACGCCGGCUUUGCGCCAGUGGCGCGAAAGUCCCUGAAAAGGGCGACACGGAAGCUGCGAAUCUCGGCGUGGCAACCUACGGCUCGGUAGUGUUUCAGCUGAAAGACGCCCACCUCGAAGCGAACGGCAUUUGCGACUUUGUCUUUCGCGCUUUACGAGUCAUCAGCAAAACGAUGACGUUCACCAUAUGUCUGACCUGUUUGUCCACUGUGCCUAUCUUGAUGUUCAUCUUUGGUGUGCAAUUCAUCAAGGAUUGUCCGAAAGAACCAUACCUUCCGGUAUACAUGUUAAUUGGAGGAGCUCUGGGAGCUGUGCGUAUGUUCUGGGCGCUUUAUUCGCAGAUACGCUCCCGGAGGCCGGAAGUCUUGUCCGUUCCCGCCGCUAGACCAUAUAUCUCGCCUAUGAAAUUACUCUCCAUAGUUUUGUCGUGCUUCCUGGUAGUGUGGUUUGUGUUAGGACAUUACUGGAUACUACAUAUAAUGUGGCCGGAAUACGAACUUUCGCUGUAUGCGCCCAAUAGAUGGUGUAACAAGACGCUUUAUAUUUUUUCUUUAGUUCAUCUGUGCGUGAUGUAUGCGGUUUUAUUUGUGAUACUAAUGGUAGCAGUCGGUCUGGCUUCCUGCAGAAUUCUAGAAUGCCCUUUACCAGAAAGAUAUAGAAAGCGACAAUUCCAACCAAGACUAAUUAUCCUAAAAAUUUUUAAAAUGGGAGAAUAACUUAAAUGUUACACGAAUUUCCGAAAAUACGAAUGUGUCUCAUAAUGAAAAUAAUGCGCGAUGUUAACCUGAAUUCUUGUAGAAUAGAACAAUGGAAACUAUUUUACGACGGGGCGAGAUCGACGAUGAAAAAUAUUUCGUCUCGGCGCCACCGCGUUUCAAUUUGCGUAUAUUAUUAUAAGUGCUCGAUACAUUUGGAGAGCUGAGUAGCACGGAUCACGUAACGUGCGGCUCGUAUAAACGCACACCGAUCAUAUUCCUAUUGUCGGCGAAAUGCGAAUACCGUUCGCAGCUCGGGUUGCGUGUUCAACAUGAUAACGACGUGAUUAGAGUAUUUGCGGCGAUUACAAGGGAUACAUAAAAAAAACUUUGCAAAAAAAUAACUGUACCGUAUCGCGAUUUGGCCGUUUGUAUUCCCAGCACGAAUAGCAUACACAAAAUGGCAAAUGCUUAAUUCGUCGAAAAUCGUGCCAUGUAGCCGUCUAAAAGAAAUUAUAAUUCUUGAGUCACAAAUACGAAUCCGAUAAUAUCCCACACUCAAUCUAUGUCAAAGCGUCUAUACACAUUAAAAAUAAAAUAAGAUAAAGUAAAUUUUAUAUAUUAUACAUAAGGCGAUGAACCCGCGAUCGAUAAGAGCACACUCACGCUCCAAAGCGCGCCCGUUCUGCUCGACUUUCAGAUACAAAUAACCACGGCGAUCCGUUCGCCAGAAUAAAAUUCGUGAGAAGAAGAAGUUGGCGAUCUGCGGCAGGGGUGGCGGCUGGCGUCUAGAUAGACGUAAGGUCCUGGAGGACUUGCAGGAGGAGGACGACGGCGACGAGCAGAGCAACGACGCCGACGCGGACGAGGACAAUUGCGGUAAUAAGAUCGUGCAGGAGGUGAAGUAUUGCAGCAAAGUGCAGUUUCGCGCGCCGGAUAUCAUCGAGCUGUAAUGAAUAAGCGAUAACGCGAUGGAGGAAGAAGCGAGGGAUGACGUUUCGUCCCGCCAGGGGCAGCAGGACUUCGUGGAGGGAUGCCGGCGGAAGAGCGAUUCGUAAUCUUAAAAAGUUCUGCGCGAUAACGAGAACGCUGGCUGCGAGAGUGAGAUUUCGCGAAAGGGUGAGGGGCGAGGGGCGGAGGUGGACGGAAAAGGAGAACAGAUAACGAGAUCGCAAAAGGAAAGCACCGCCGGAGGUCGACGGCGGUGUAUCGCUUUCGUGAAUAAUCGGGGUCUCGACUCCGACACGUGCGAGAUCCCGAGAUGGAGCUUUCGCAUUUUCUGCACACGGUAAAUCCACGUGUCGGAAGUAUAUCAGUGAAAAUCCAGAUCGAUUGCGAAGAAAUUCAUCCGGUAAAGCGAAUACAAUGAAAUCUAUAGUAUCACGUAAUUGUGAUGCGACUCAUUUAAUCCAAUUGAUUUGUGAAAUACGGCAAGAAAGAUAGCGUGACGCAAUUACAUAGAAGCCACGUUCAAUGCACGAUGAACACCGACCAUUUUCAAUAUAUCGAUCACUCAAUUCUUUCAAAACAUAAAUUAAAAUAUUUACAUCAAAUUUUUAUCGUUGUAUUCAAUUUUGGAGAAAUAUGCGGCAUUCGACAUAGAGAGUUUGCAUAAUUUUGCGGUGAAUUCGGACUCGAUAUACGAAGAAAUACGCCUAACACAAUAGCGGCGAAGGAAAACAAAAUAAAACUUUUAUUAAUAAAAGAAAGCGGUCUCUCUCUUUCUCUCUCUCUCUCUCUCUCUCUCUCUCUCUCUCUCUCUGUAAGAAUGACAUUGCAGUUGUGGAAACAGAGAAUAUUUCCCAAAAGAAUUUCGUUUUGCGCCGCAGUUUUGAUAUACGUCGUGCUAUACAGCUGCGGUUUGGUAAAGAAAUCGAUAUGAAAACCACCAUGAAGUACUCGUAUCAAAACAGGAAUCUCUAAUUCGCCGUUUGCGCAAACAGCGCGUUCUCUCUAUCUCUCUUUUGCACGUCAAUUGAAUGCAGAAAUCGGAUUUUAAAGCACGUAGAUAGCUUAAUGGAAUUAACAUGGCCCAGCGAUAUAUUCUUCUUCUCCUGGAAAUGCUCGCCGAGGAACCCUACGUCGUUUUAAUACCGAUUCAAUGUGAGUAAUUGCUGGAUUCGCAGCCAUCGAUCUUUCGAUUCUUUUAAUUCGCCUGACGACGUAGAAGCCUAUUGAUUUUCUCCUGUUUUUACCGCCUACAAGCAAGAAAAUAAACGAGAAAGUACAAAAGGAAAUAUGUUCUUCUAACAUUUUCUCCUACAUAAUUUUGAGAAGUUUUUUUUUUUAUGACAAAUAUUUCUGAAUAGAGAAUUCCUAGAAGAGUUUUUGGCAGUUGAAAACCCAAAGGUCCCCGAAUUUCAUUAGUUUUCGCCCGGGUCCACCCGCGUAAGAAACACGCCGCGUGACAAGCACGUGAUGAAGCUCCGUUUGAAGAUCACGCAAAGUUGCAGAAAAUUCACGGAAAUCUUGCAACCGCAGUUUUACCACGUGUAACGCUUCCUGUGAAGUUGCGGUUCACUCAAACGCGAAGAACUCGCGACUUCGCAAAAUUCCGAAUUACUUUCCAACUCGUGCAGGAGUGAAAAAUCUGAACGAAAAAGGAGGGGAUAACCGCCAAGCAGGAAAAAACGAAGCCAGGUAUCGACUUAUCGAACCACGACGACAACGACGACGUGUUCCUGCCGGUCGAACCGACGCGCAAAUCCGCUUCAUCGAAUCAAGUCUGAAAGUAGUUACAGUGACUGCGGCAACUGCGUUCCUCCAUGACGCAAGUGAUAUCGAAACUUUACUCCCCGAUUAUUCGAUAUUCCCUCUCGCAAAGGUGUUUUUUUUUUCGUCCGCGUGUGGGAAAUAUGGAAUUUAAUGCUCGUUCGCGAGAAUACAGCUGCAAUUCGGCGACAUGUCAAAGUUUCUGAUCGUUUCUCAUUAUCUUUCGGUAGUAUCGAGCGUUGACUUCAGAUAGACGAAUGGCGUAUAUAAUUGAACGUGUCGGUUUGGACUGCAGCCGUAUGCCGUCAAUUGUCGGCGAAUCUACAUGACAGAGAUCCAAAUGUCGCCAUCGACACAUGAUGUCCAACCAAUUUGAAGUCGACAAUAAAAGAAACUCUGCCGCCGAGAACUGUCUGGGAUCGUUCGCAACUGUUACGUCAAUAUUGUGUUCCGGAGGAUGAGUAUGCAGAAAUGUCGAAGUGAAAUAUGCCUGAUCAUUAAUACGAAUUUGUCAUACGGCCACCUCUCAAAUGAGAUCGAUGACGAUUUCAUUUCCGUUCGGGUAUCACCACUUUAUUCAUCCAGAUACGUGACAGUAGCAACAGUCGAAGAAUGACGAAGAAUCAUUAAUUUUUUUCGCGUGUAGCCACGCUUCUCGUGUAAACAUCGUUUUUUUCCCUUUUUUUCGCAAUAACUCCAACAGUCGCCACAGAUAAAACGUCGUUGUGAGAAAUUAUUGAACCGUAACGCGUGUAGCAUUCAACUGGGGAGUUUUAUUCUUUUUUUUUAUAAUUUCUAUUUGCAUGCAUUCAAUUCAGUUCACUUCAGGGACAAAUUGUGCGUUUUUUUUUGUUUUACUCUCUCCAGAUGAAGUAAUGAUAUUAACUUGUUUUGAUAUUUUUUCAUUUAAUAUAUUUAAGUAUAUUAGAAACAAAAAACUGUAAUCUAAUAUAUUGAGUAAUUAAAGCAAACAUGAAACAUAAUCGUUUCCUCGAGCUAGACAGUUUUGGGGCUAAAGGAUGAAUGAUAACAUUGUAUGCGAUGUAUUAUCUGCGGAUGUGUAUUCAAUAAUGCAAACAAGCGUGCAUAGCGUAUCGCGUGCUAAUAUUACCCGUAUUAAAGCGUGCAGAACGAGGAUUGACCCCCGGACUGGCUAACGCGGUAUCUAGUACCGACACACACGAUAUCGAUAUAUAACGCGUAUUAACGCGCGCCAUUGCGUCGAAGACCGACCGGGAAGGACGUACCGUGGCGAGAGCACACGUGCACUUUACACGAAGGGCGAGCGAGUAAGCAAGAGAAAAGGAGAAAGAGAGAAAAUAUUCGCAACCCCGUGUGUUCCGAUUCCAGUGGUGUCAGCGUGUUAAGUCGACCUCACCGACGGGUUAUGUCGACUCGCAUUACGAGUCUCCAGUUACUUCAUACCAAUCGCAACUGCCGCACGUGCACGCGGUUCUAAACUGCCUUGAAACUGUCGUAACUGUUUCGCGAAAUUCUAACAUUACGGAACUACCGUUUAAGCCGAGCCUUCCACAUACCGCUCACGGGUAUGUUUUGCAUCCAAGCUUGACGAGUGCGAAUCGAGCGAAUCAGUUUGACAGUCAGCGUAAAAGGUCAAAUUUUUCGGGUCAGAUUUGUUUCGCAACUCGACAUUUCAGAUAUGGUAAUUUUUAAAUCGACAUAUGCAACACUAUGCUUUCUUCUAUAUUUCAUAAAUUAUUUAUCAAACGCGCUAAGCUUCUUUCCUUCGUCAUUUAAUUACUUUUUAAUGUUAUUGUUGAUUCGAAGAACCAUUUGCUCAUCUUAGAAAUUUGUUUCUAAAAUUAAGAUAAAGAUUUUCUUUCUCUUUCGAAAUUACAUUUACAGUGAAAUAUCUACUAUCGUGAACGAGAACCUGAAAACUACACAAUCCCUUCUCAUUUGUUUGUUGGAACAUGUGAUCCAUGGAUAAUCGGUUUUCGUCGUCGGAGUCGCACAAUACAAUUUACGAUUCUACGCCAGUGACGUGGUUUCGACGUGCCGCGAAUACAGUACGUCGUUGUGUCUUUUUUAGAAACUACGCUUUUAGGGUCGUGGACACAUAUUGCUUACGCUUCAAGGAUGCAUUCGGGUGACGCGUAUUUGUUCUAUUCCACUGUGGACGCUCCGAUGUUCUACGGAUUCCACGUGAUGUACGUCGAGGGCGUGCAGGUGCGCGCGGGAAAUAUAGGGCCCGGGUGUAUCGUGACGAAUCGAACUUGCGUGUGUAGUUUAAUUAAGAAUUAACUCCGUGCAAUCUCUCUCCGGCUGUGUGGAUCGAUUUCGUCUGCGCGCGACAGAAUACAUCCUCGUUGCAAAAUGCAUCGAUAAAUAGAAAAAGACUGCUAUCGGCAUUUCACGAAAUCUGAUGUUUUAGCAUAAACAAAUUUUAUAAUU
rnacentral:misc_RNA from 1 species